AAAUAUCAUCUAUUGUAUAGCUUAUUAAUUCCUUCCACAAUAUUUAAUUAGUUCUGCCAAAAUUAUCAAUACAACAUACGCUAAAAGAAUAUUUUUUCCUUAAUGCAACAUACAUCAGAAACCCCUAUUGCUUUCUCAUCGAAAACCCUAAAACCCGAUCUCAAUAAUUGAUAAUUAAAAAUUGAUGGGAUCUUAAAAGUGGCCAAUCGAACCAGAAUGUGUAAUUGAAGAAUCGUGUCACGCUUGCUCAUGCCGCUGCAGUAGUAUCUCAUAGUCUAGUUGAGAAUCGAUUGUAGAUUUAGACUUCAAGGGAAGCUUGAAUUUGUGUAUUUUAAGGUGGAUAGGGCAAUCUUGGACUUGAAGAAUACCAACGUUAGGCUUAAGCAUACAGUUAACCAGGUACAUUUUGUUGGGCACUGGUUGCAGGUGCAUUUGUUGUGUUCAUCGGAGAAAGCCUCAAACUAAACUGAGUUCUUCGAUAUCAGUUUCUCUUUUCUUGAUUCUAUGUUUUAUCCAUUUAAUUUGUCAAUGUUGUUAUUUGAUUGCACUAAUGUAGCUGUUCUUUUACUUUUCCUCAGAACAACAGAUUUCCUUUCUUUUACUUUUCUUUUCCUUUUCUAUUAAUCGCACUAAUGUAGUUGUAGCUGUAGAUAGAUUUACUAGUAUUAAUGUAGCUAAUGCUUGUAAAAUUAGUCGAGAUGCAUGCAAACUGAGAAAAACGCACCAUCUAUGUAUCUUUUGAGGAACAUAUACAGUUACCAACAGGAAACAAGAACAACAAAAAUAUGUACUAGAAUCUGUGGUACAAAAAAGGUACUGAAAAUGUCAACUUUAUUAUAUUAUUGAAUGAACUAUUGAUGUUGGAAUCUUGAAAGUUAAAUUUUAUUCCAAAAUUAUUAACUUUUAUCGCUAGUACUAAAUGACCUUGAAAUGUAACUAACUAAUCAUGUAAAUAUUAAAAAAUAUGUUUCCAUCCUUACGUGUACACAAAACAAAAUGAAUGGAAAUAGAAGGGGUGGGGUGUCCAGUCUCAAAAAUUCAGCCUUGUUUUCUCGUUGUCCUUUUUUAUGUUUAGACUAUACUAGGACCAUAACUUCGUGGCACAUUUUUGUCUGUCAUAUGAUUUUGCACUCAAACAAGAAAAAAAAUAAGCUUUUUCACAAAAAAGAAAAAAAGAAAGUAUAUCCUUAUUCUACCCAUUCGAGAAGGCUCUGCUUUUGAUUCUCUUAUAAACUAAUUUUGUACUAAGUGUGUUACAUGUGUGUAUCACAGUCAAGAAAUACGAAGAAUGAAUGGCGUAAGAUAACAAUCAACCGUAAGACAAAAAAAAUUUGUGUGUUGUCCCAACACCCAGCUGGUGUUAGCAGAUUGAAGCUUUGGGAAGUGGCUGCAGGUGCAUUGGCUGUGUUCAUCGGGGAAAGCCUCAAACUCGACUGAAUUCUUCGUUGGGUUCAAAGUAAAGAAAGUGAUGAAGACAUUGACGAGAAGAUUUUUGCGUUGUUGAUAAAUGCUCUAAUAUCAAUAGUUUUGUGUUGAAUUUUUUGAAACUUAUCGCGACUCGAACUUGCUACUAUGUAAAAACUUAACUAAUCAUUUGAACUUGA